rnacentral:tRNA from 1 species
GUUAUAGCUCAGUGGUAGAGCACUUGCCUAGCAUGCAUGAGGCCCUGGAUUUGAUUCCUAGCCUGACA